GAUGAACGCUGGCGGCGUGCCUAAUACAUGCAAGUCGAGCGAACAGACGAGGAGCUUGCUCCUCUGACGUUAGCGGCGGACGGGUGAGUAACACGUGGAUAACCUACCUAUAAGACUGGGAUAACUUCGGGAAACCGGAGCUAAUACCGGAUAAUAUAUUGAACCGCAUGGUUCAAUAGUGAAAGACGGUUUUGCUGUCACUUAUAGAUGGAUCCGCGCCGCAUUAGCUAGUUGGUAAGGUAACGGCUUACCAAGGCGACGAUGCGUAGCCGACCUGAGAGGGUGAUCGGCCACACUGGAACUGAGACACGGUCCAGACUCCUACGGGAGGCAGCAGUAGGGAAUCUUCCGCAAUGGGCGAAAGCUUGACGGAGCAACGCCGCGUGAGUGAUGAAGGUCUUCGGAUCGUAAAACUCUGUUAUUAGGGAAGAACAAAUGUGUAAGUAACUAUGCAUGUCCUGACGGUACCUAAUCAGAAAGCCACGGCUAACUACGUG
rnacentral:rRNA from 1 species